CGCCAAUCUAGCUCCGGAUUGUGGCCUUCUUGGCUUUCCAUAUCUCCUCUCCGGACCCGGUAGCGCUAGUGACGUCACUCUUGAGCCGGGCCGGUCGGGACUGCUCACCUGCUCGGUCCACAACAACGUGAGCCACGCCGCGGCUAACAUCACCUUGUCUAUGUGUGACGACCGCACCCCGUUCAUCGCUCGUUCUCUGACGGUGGUGCUGCUGCUCCUAGCAGCAUUGGGAGUCUACUGGGCACUAAAGAAGAAGAAAACCUCCAGACCUCGAGACAUCGCGCUGUCCUCCAUGGCAGUAGAUGAUGG